rnacentral:tRNA from 1 species
GCCUUCAUAGUGUAAUGGCCAACACACUCGACUCGUAUUCGAGAGGUUCGAGUCCCAGUGAGGGCA